rnacentral:tRNA from 1 species
GCGAGAGUGGUGGAAUUGGCAGACACGCCAGACUUAGGAUCUGGUGCCAUUGGCAUGAGGGUUCAAGUCCCUCCCCUCGCA